rnacentral:rRNA from 1 species
CUGGAGGUAUCAGAAGUGCGAAUGCUGACAUAAGUAACGAUAAAGCGGGUGAAAAGCCCGCUCGCCGGAAGACCAAGGGUUCCUGUCCAACGUUAAUCGGGGCAGGGUGAGUCGACCCCUAAGGCGAGGCCGAAAGGCGUAGUCGAUGGGAAACAGGUUAAUAUUCCUGUACUUGGUGUUACUGCGAAGGGGGGACGGAGAAGGCUAUGUUGGCCGGGCGACGGUUGUCCCGGUUUAAGCGUGUAGGCUGGUUUUCCAGGCAAAUCCGGAAAAUCAAGGCUGAGGCGUGAUGACGAGGCACUACGGUGCUGAAGCAACAAAUGCCCUGCUUCCAGGAAAAGCCUCUAAGCAUCAGGUAACAUCAAAUCGUACCCCAAACCGACACAGGUGGUCAGGUAGAGAAUACCAAGGCGCUUGAGAGAACUCGGGUGAAGGAACUAGGCAAAAUGGUGCCGUAACUUCGGGAGAAGGCACGCUGAUAUGUAGGUGAAGCGACUUGCUCGUGGAGCUGAAAUCAGUCGAAGAUACCAGCUGGCUGCAACUGUUUAUUAAAAACACAGCACUGUGCAAACACGAAAGUGGACGUAUACGGUGUGACGCCUGCCCGGUGCCGGAAGGUUAAUUGAUGGGGUUAGCGGUAACGCGAAGCUCUUGAUCGAAGCCCCGGUAAACGGCGGCCGUAACUAUAACGGUCCUAAGGUAGCGAAAUUCCUUGUCGGGUAAGUUCCGACCUGCACGAAUGGCGUAAUGAUGGCCAGGCUGUCUCCACCCGAGACUCAGUGAAAUUGAACUCGCUGUGAAGAUGCAGUGUACCCGCGGCAAGACGGAAAGACCCCGUGAACCUUUACUAUAGCUUGACACUGAACAUUGAGCCUUGAUGUGUAGGAUAGGUGGGAGGCUUUGAAGUGUGGACGCCAGUCUGCAUGGAGCCGACCUUGAAAUACCACCCUUUAAUGUUUGAUGUUCUAACGUUGGCCCGUUAUCCGGGUUGCGGACAGUGUCUGGUGGGUAGUUUGACUGGGGCGGUCUCCUCCUAAAGAGUAACGGAGGAGCACGAAGGUUGGCUAAUCCUGGUCGGACAUCAGGAGGUUAGUGCAAUGGCAUAAGCCAGCUUGACUGCGAGCGUGACGGCGCGAGCAGGUGCGAAAGCAGGUCAUAGUGAUCCGGUGGUUCUGAAUGGAAGGGCCAUCGCUCAACGGAUAAAAGGUACUCCGGGGAUAACAGGCUGAUACCGCCCAAGAGUUCAUAUCGACGGCGGUGUUUGGCACCUCGAUGUCGGCUCAUCACAUCCUGGGGCUGAAGUAGGUCCCAAGGGUAUGGCUGUUCGCCAUUUAAAGUGGUACGCGAGCUGGGUUUAGAACGUCGUGAGACAGUUCGGUCCCUAUCUGCCGUGGGCGCUGGAGAACUGAGGGGGGCUGCUCCUAGUACGAGAGGACCGGAGUGGACGCAUCACUGGUGUUCGGGUUGUCAUGCCAAUGGCACUGCCCGGUAGCUAAAUGCGGAAGAGAUAAGUGCUGAAAGCAUCUAAGCACGAAACUUGCCCCGAGAUGAGUUCUCCCUGACUCCUUGAGAGUCCUGAAGGAACGUUGAAGACGACGACGUUGAUAGGCCGGGUGUGUAAGCGCAGCGAUGCGU